AGUACUAUUCUAUUCGCACAUUAAUCUUCUUUAGCAGGCGAGUUUUAACCUUCUGCCAUGGCUUCCAACGAAAGUCAACGCUGUUCUUCAUCACACACUAAAAAUUUUGAUGUGUUUGUUAGCUUCAGAGGCACAGAUACUCGUAACAGUUUCACAAAUCAUCUUUUUGAAGCUCUUCAAAGAAAAGGAGUUGUUGCCUUCAGAGAUGACCAAACCAUCCAGAAAGGUGACUUCUUGGACUCUGAGCUCUUACACGCAAUUGAAGGAUCACAAGUUUUCAUUGUUGUCUUCUCAAAGAACUAUGCAUCAUCCACAUGGUGCAUGAAAGAGCUUACAAAGAUCGUUGCUUGGGUUCAACAAACGGCUCGAACUUUGCUCCCUAUUUUCUAUGAUGUCGAUCCUUCUGAGGUACGAAAACAAAGUGGAGAGUUUGCAAAAGCUUUUGCCGAACACGAAGAAAGGUUCAAAGAUGACUUGGAAAUGGUAAAAGAAUGGAGGGAAGCUCUCAAAACAAGUUGCGAUCGUUGUGGGUGGGAUCUGAAAAAUAAGAAACAAUAUGAAGAAAUUGAAAACGUUGUUGAAAAGGUAAACGACAUAUUGGGUCGUAAUCAAAUUUGGAGUUUUGGAGAUGAUUUAGUUGACAUGCAUUCUCGUGUUGAAGAAUUGGAAGAACUGCUAGAUCUGAGUGCAAAUGAUAUUGUUCGCAUUGUGGGAAUUUGUGGGAUGGGUGGGAUAGGGAAGACAACAGUUGCAACUUCGUUGUUUAAAAAAAUAUCUCCUCAAUAUAAUGCUCGUUGUUACAUUGAUGAUUUAAGCAAAAUUUAUUGCAAUUUUGGAGCAACAAGUGCACAAAAACAACUUCUUUCUCAAGCUCUAAAUGAAAUAAAAAAUAUGGAGAUACAUAAUGUUUUCCAUGGAACUAUGUUGAUAAGAACUAGACUACGUCAUUUAAAGAUGCUUGUGGUUCUUGAUAAUGUUGAUGAAGUUGAACAAUUAGAGAAAUUGGGUUUGCGUCCUGAAUAUUUAGGUGCAGGGAGUAGACUCAUCAUAAUUUCUAGAGAUUGUCAUAUCUUACAAAAUUAUGGAGUAAAUGAAGUUUACAAUGUUGAAGUCUUGGAUGAAACUCAAGCUCUUCAAUUAUUUUGCAAAAAAGCUUUCAAAUCUCACGAUAUUCCGAAAGAAUACAAGGAGUUGACAUUAGAGGCACUGAAGUAUGCCAAUGGUCUUCCGUUAGCAAUUAAAGUAUUGGGGUCAUUUUUACACGAUCGAGAUGUUUGUGAAUGGAGAAGUGCAUUGGCUAGAAUGAAUGAAAAUCCAAGCAAAGAUAUCAUGGAUGUGUUGCGGAUAAGUUUUGAUAGUUUGGAGAAUUUAGAGAAAGAAAUAUUUCUAGAUAUUGCUUGUUUCUUCUCCAAUAGGAAUGGCUAUUCUUGGAAGCCAACAGUGAAGAGACUUCUAGAGUAUCGACAAUUUUAUCCAGACAUCGGUAUGAAAGUUUUGAUCGAGAAAUCACUAAUAAGUUGUCAAAAUAAGGAGAUUGAAAUGCAUGACUUGUUGAAAGAGUUGGGUAAGAAUAUUGUUCGAGAAAAAGCACCCAAAGAACCAAGUAAGUGGAGCAGACUAUGGAGCUACAAGGAUUUCCAAAAGGUCAUGAAGUUAAAUAAGGAAGCCAAAAAUGUUGAAGCUAUAGUUAUUCAGCAGAAUGAAAACGAGUUUGUACAAGAAAGGAUAAGAGUGGACGCUCUAUCAAAAAUGGGUCACCUUGAGUUGCUAAGUCUGAACAAUGUGAAAUGUUUUGGAACUCUCGACUACAUCUCUAAUGAACUGAGAUAUUUGUAUUGGGAUCCCUUUCCUUGGAUGUCUUUACCAUCAACUUUCCAUCUAGAUCAACUUGUAGAACUGAUCCUGCCUCGUAGCAAUAUCAAGCAAUUAUGGAAAGGAAAAAAGUGUGUGCCCAAUUUGACAAAACUGGAUCUCAAUCACUCCAAAAAUCUUAUUGAGGUGCCAGACUUAAGUGAGGUUCCACUUCUUAUGGAUCUUAAUCUUGAAGGAUGUAUAAAACUAGUCCAAAUCCAUCCAUCCAUUGGUAUUCUAAGGCAACUUCGUCACUUGGAUUUGAGAAAUUGUAAAAAUCUUAUUGAGGUGCCAAACUUAAGUGAGGUUGAACGUCUUACAGAUCUUACUCUUGAAGGAUGCAUAGAAGUUGUCCAUAUUGAUUCAUCCAUUGGUAAUCUAAGACAACUUAUAUAUUUGAAUUUGAAAAAUUGUAAAAAUCUUGUCCUUAAUCUGAAUAUCCUUUCUGGGAUCACUUCUCUUAGGACAUUAAUUCUCUCCGGCUGUUCAAAUUUACAUAAUAGUAAGAUGUUAAGGGACUCAAAGGUCAAAAAACUUCUAAUGUCGCCUUUCGAUUUUUUGUACCGUCCAAAACCUCAAGAUUCGUGUGGCUUGUCAUGGUCUUUGUUGUCCUUUUCUGUCCCGUGUUUGGUGUAUCUUGACAUAAGCUUCUGCAGUCUACUUCAAAUCCCAGAUGAAAUUGGGAACUUAAGUAGUUUAAUAAUAUUAAAUUUGGGAGGAAAUAAAUUUGUGACACUGCCAAACACCAUCAAGAGACUUUCCAAUCUUCACUGCCUGAACUUGGAACACUGCAAGCGGCUGGAAUAUUUGCCCGAGCUUCCAACAGUAAAAGAAAGAUUUAUUGACGAAGACAUGAGUUUAUACAUUUUUGAUUGCCCCAAGCUGAGAGAUAUGGAACACUGUUAUAGUACGGUUUUUUCUUGGAUGAUGCAAAAUCUUCAGGUUUACUUGGAACCUGGAAUGGAAAUUGUUAUUCCUGGAAGUGAAAUCCCAAAGUGGUUCAAUAAACAAAAUGCAAGUACAUCAAUAAGUAUGGACCCAUCUGAUGUUAUAGAUGACCCAAAUUGGAUUGGAGUUGCCAUUUGUGUUCUAUUUGUCACACAACAAGAUCCUAUGAAUUUGGAUGAAAAUCCUUGUCCUCUCUCUACCAUUCAAUACUGGGUCGAUGAUGACUGGCUGUCAACGAUUCCAAUAUAUUUCGAGAAAGAUCUAGUGACAGUUGAGUUAGAUCACUUGUGCAUAGUGUUUCACUCUCGGAAACAAUUCAUUCAUCGUCUAAAUAUAUUCCCAAAUACCAUGCAUGAUCUUCAUGAAUUUGAAUUUGAAUGUUUUAUUCAUAAUCCUAAAGGUUUACGUGUUGUGGUGAAGAAUUGCGGGUAUCGUUGGGUAUUUGAGGAAGAUCUUCAACAGUUGAACUCAAACAUAUUUUUCAGUGGAAAUUCUUCAUCUCCAAAGAGGAAACUCCUAACAAGUAAUUAACCACGAAGAGCCUUCAACCUGGAAAUUUCUUCUCAACCACACAAUUCCAUCAGAUGCUAGUGGAGAUGCAUAGUUGUGAGGAGCUCUUUUGAAAGCCUCUGGAAGUUUUAUUAUGAAGCAUUUGGAAACAUUAUCUUUUGAAUAAGAUGUAAUAGUUUGGCUAGUUUUGAGUUUUAAACUUGGAAGAAAAUUGUAUUAAGUUUCGUUUUGUUGACUUAAAUCAAUUUGGUUUAUUUUAA